GUGCAAGAUACCUGCUGGCAAUGGCGGCCGGCGGACGUGGAGGCAGGGGGGCGCAUGCAAGAGGUACUGGAAGGAGAGACGCGGGCACAAAGGUUGCGGGAAGAACAGCUCUUUCCUUUCAGGAUCCUGCUCUUUUCCUGAAAGAGAAUCUCGAGGAUAUAUCAGCUUGGGGUCUUCCCGAAGCCAGGUCCAAGAAUGAUGACUCAUUGGACAUGGACUUCUCCCAGUGGCCAGAAAUACCCACCAAAAAGGCCUGUGCGGGCCUCAGACCCUACCCUACUCUUGCUGGCUGAUGCUCCCCACACUGAAGCCAUGAAGCCUCUGACAGCCUCACUGGCCAGCACCAUAUUCUGAUACCUCUGGAGAUAUUUUUUUGUUUUUCUUUCUUUUUCUUUUUCUUUUUUUUUUUUUGAGACGGAGUCUCGCUCUGUCGCCCAGGCUGGAGUGAAGUGGCACAAUCAUAGCUCACUGCAGCCUUUGACUCCUGGGCUCAAGCAAAUCCCCCACCUCGGCCUCCUGAGUAGUUGGGGGACCAAGGUGUGUGCCCCCACACCCGGCUUGGAGCCUUGUUUCAGCCCAUUUUCUCCUUCCCUCGGCUAUCGUCAUCCUUCAUGCCUGCAUGCCUCAGUUAGGGGUGUGUUCUCAGCGUUUGUCCUCAUCUCUGCCUCCUCAUCUGAAAUCCAGUGUUUUGGGGGGUAAGGUUUUAUUGAGGUGUAAUUUAUAUACAGCACAAUUGUGCAGAAUUGUGUUGCCCGGAAUGGACUUGAACUCCUUGCCUCAAGCAAUCAUCCCACCUUGGCCUCCCAAAGUGCUGGGAUUAUAGGUAUGAACCACCAUGCCCGGCCUCAUGUGACUACUCCUACAGAGGCCCGCGAUGGCCUGAAAUGAUUGAUUCCAGGACCCCGUCUUCUCAUCCCAAAGCACCAAACCCUACUGACAAGGAAAGGACCCCCAUUUCAGAACUUCCAUGGCCACCCCCCAACCCUGGCAUUGGCAACUUUGCAACCUGGGCUUCCCCAAUAAUCAGAUUUACGGUAAGACCCCAAAGAGGUCCAGGCGCUUCUAAAACAAGUUAUACAGAGAAUCCAAACCCAAAUCCUCAAGAUGUGAGCCCACAUCACAUCCCCCAAAAUAGAGCACCCGUGACCACUCCAGCCUUGCUAGGGACACAGCAUACUCCUUGACCCUCGCCACUACAGAGGACAAUUGGUCUCACAAACUUGGGGGUCCACGCACUAAGCAAACUUCUAUGGCCUUAAUUGACACUGUUUCCCCAGAGACCCCACUAAAUGUAAGGGAGGAACUCUCUCUGUUAAGAUUGAAGGCAAACAAGUCCGCCUUAGCCUGGUCACUGGUGCAAUAGAUUUGCAGAAUAUUCCAGUGGUCUCAAUUCUUUCUGCUCUUGAAUUUCCAUCACUGGGACGGAUGCUCCAACUGGAAUAAAACCCACACUUUGUCCCUUACUGUCAGUCUUGGCAGACGAGACCCGGAGGACCUGCCCAAGCCAUUAAAAUCAUUAAUAUGACCCAAAAUAAAUUAAAACAGGGACUUCAAGGAUUGAGUGAAGGGGUGACUAUCCCCUCUGUUUCUCCAUUUAACAGCCCGAUUUGACGUGUUCUUCAAAUGGAAAAGAACAAAUGGCAUCUCACCGUCGAUGCUGAAACCUUAACCCAGGGGGCCAUAGGGGCCCCAGUCCCUGCAGGCUGAAAGGAUGGAGCCCAUUCAGUCUUUUGCUGGCCAAUAUUUUACUAUUUUUGCUUCCUUGCAGUGUUCCACAGUACCCAAUUCAACAGCCUCUCAGCCUCUACUCCCAUUCUAUUUAUUGUGGUAAAAUAUAUAACAAAAUUUACCGUUUUAACCUUUUUCUUUCUUUUUUUUUUUUUGAAACAGGGUCUCACUAUGUCACCCAGGCUGGAGUACAGUGGCGCCAUUGCAGAUCACUGCAGCCUCAACCUCCUGGGUUCAAGUGAUCCUCCCACCUCAGCCUCCUGAGUAAUUAGGAUUACAGGCUUAAGCCACCAUGCCCAGCCUACUUUAAUCAUUUUUUAAUUUUAAUUUUAUUUUUUUUUAAAUUUUACUUUAAGUUCUGAGAUUCAUGUGCAGAACGUGCAGGUUUGUUACAUGGGUAUACACAUGCCAUAGUGGUUUGCUGCACCUGUCAAUCCGUCAUCUAGGUUUUAAGCCCUGCAUGCCUUAGGUAUUUCUCCUAAUGCUGUUCCUCCCCCAGCCCCCCAUCCUCAGACAGACCCCAGUGUGUGAUGUUCCCCUCCCUGUGUCCAUGUGUUCUCAUUGUUCAACUGCCACUUAUAAGUGAGAAUAUGCGGUGUUAGGUUUUCUGUUCCUGUGUUAGUUUGCUGAAAAUGAUGGCUUCCAGCUCCAUCCAUGUCCCUGCAAAAGACAUGAGUUCAUUCUUUUUUAUGGCUGCAUAGUAUUCCAUGGUGUAUAUAUGCCACAUUUUCUUUAUCCAGUCUAUCACUGAUGGGCAUUUGGGUUGGUUCCAAGUCUUUGCUAUUGUGAAUAGUGCUGCAAUAAACAUACAUGUGCAGGUGUCUUUACAGUAGAACGAUUUAUAAUCAUUUGGGUAUGUACCUAGUAAUGGGAUUGCUGGGUCAACUGGUAUUUCUGGUUCUAGAUCCUUGAGGAAUCUCCACACUGUCUUCCACAAUGGUUGAACUAAUUUACACUCCCACCAACAGUGUAAAAGUGUUCCUAUUUCUCCACAGCCUCGCCAGCAUCUGUUGUUUUCUGACUUUUUAAUAAUUGCCAUUCUAACUGGUGUGAGAUGGUGUCUCAUUGUGGUUUUGAUUUGCAUUUCUCUAAUAACCAGUGAUGAUGAGCUUUUUUUUGUAUAUUUGUUGGCUACAUAAAUAUCUUCUUUUGAGAAUGUCUGUUCAUAUCCUUUGCCCAGUUUUUGAUGGGGUUAUUUUUUUCUUGUAAAUUUGUUUAAGUUCCUUGUAGAUUCUGGAUAUUAGACCUUUGUCAGAUGGGUAGAUUGCAAAAAUUUUCUCCCAUUCUGUAGGUUGCCUGUUCACUCUAAUGAUAGUUUCAUUUGCUGUGCAGAAGCUCUUUAGUUUGAUUAGAUUCCAUGUGUCAAUUUUGGCUUUUGUUGCCAUUGCUUUUGGUGUUUUAGUCAUGAAGUCUUUGCCCACGCCUAUGUUCUGAAUGGUAUUACCUAGGUUUUCUUCUAGGGUUUUUACAGUUUUGGGUUUUACAUUUAAGUCUUUAAUCUAUUUUGAGUUAAUUUUUGUAUAAGGUAUAAGGAAGGGGUCCAGUUUCUGUUUUCUGCAUGUGGCUAGCCAGUUUUCCCAGCACCAUUUAUUAAAUAGGGAAUCCUUUUUCCAUUUCUUGUUUUUGUCAGGUUUGUCAAAGAUCAGAUGGUUGUAGAUGUGUGGUGUUAUUUCUGAGGUCCCUGUUCUGUUCCAUUGGUCUAUAUAUCUGUUUAAAAAUACGGAACGCUUUGGCCGGGCGUGGUGGCUCACACCUGUAAUCCCAGCACUUUGGGAGGCCGGGGUGGGCAGAUCAUGAGGUCAGGAGAUCGAGACCACGGUGAAACCCCGUCUCUACUAAAAAUACAAACAAUUAGCCAGGCGUGGUGGCAGGCGCCUGUAGUCCCAGCUACUCGGGAGGCUGGGGCAGGAGAAUGGCAUGAACCCAGGAGGCAGAGCUUGCAGUGAGCCGAGAUUGCGCCACUGCACUCCAGCCUGGGCAACAGAGCAAGAUUCCAUCUCAAAGUAAAUAAAUAAAUAAUAAAUAAAAAAAUAAAAAUAAAAAUAUGGAACGCUUCACAAAUUUGCGUGUCAUCCUUGGGCAGAGGCCAUGAGAAUCUUCUCUCUAUCAUUCUGAUUUUAGUAUAUGUGCUGCCGAAGCGAACACUAUUUUAAUCAUUUUAAAGUGUACGGUUUAGUGACAUUAAGUACAUUCACUGCCAUCUAUUUCUAGAAUCU